AGAUUGAACGCUGGCGGAAUGCUUUACACAUGCAAGUCGAACGGCAGCACGGGGGUAACCCUGGUGGCGAGUGGCGAACGGGUGAGUAAUACAUCGGAACGUGUCCUGUAAUGGGGGAUAACCUGGCGAAAGCCAGGCUAAUACCGCAUACGUCCUACGGGAGAAAGCGGGGGAUCGCAAGACCUCGCGUUAUAGGAGCGGCCGAUGUCGGAUUAGCUAGUUGGUGGGGUAAAGGCCUACCAAGGCGACGAUCCGUAGCUGGUCUGAGAGGACGACCAGCCACACUGGAACUGAGACACGGUCCAGACUCCUACGGGAGGCAGCAGUGGGGAAUUUGGACAAUGGGCGCAAGCCUGAUCCAGCCAUUCCGCGUGAGUGAAGAAGGCCUCGGUUGUAAGACGUCUUCGGUCCGGGAAGAAAGUACGCGAUCAGCGAAUAACUAGUGUGGAUGACGGUACCGGAAGAAGAAGACACCGGCUAACUACGUGCCAGCAGCCGC
rnacentral:rRNA from 1 species